rnacentral:rRNA from 1 species
ACCUAGUGGCGAACGGGUGAGUAACACGUGAGGAACCCACCCCGGAGACCGGGAUAACCCUCCGAAAGGAGGGCUAAUACCGGAUGCCCUCAUCGGAUCGCAUGUUCUGAUGAGGAAAUGGAUUCCGCUCCGGGACGGCCUCGCGGCCUAUCAGCUUGUUGGUGGGGUAACGGCCUACCAAGGCGACGACGGGUAGCUGGUCUGAGAGGACGGUCAGCCACACUGGGACUGAGACACGGCCCAGACUCCUACGGGAGGCAGCAGCGGGGAAUAUUGCGCAAUGGGCGAAAGCCUGACGCAGCAACGCCGCGUGAGGGAUGAAGGCUCUCGGGUUGUAAACCUCUUUCAGCAGGGACGAUUGUGACGGUACCUGCAGAAGAAGCCCCGGCCAACUACGUGCCAGCAGCCGCGGUAAUAAUC